rnacentral:pre_miRNA from 1 species
AAUAAACCAAUUUUUCACUUUUUACCUAAAUUUUUGACUCUUCGUCUUAUUUAAAUUUUUUUGUGAUUGAUAUUUUUGUUUUUAUUAGAUGAUAAAUCAUGAAUAGUACUUUACGUGUGACUAAUUUUUUUUUAAUUUUUUAAAAAAUUUCAAAUAAAACGGAUGGUCAAACGUUGGACAACCGGAAAAUUAU